rnacentral:rRNA from 1 species
UACAGAGGUCUCAAGCGUUUGUUCGGAUUCAUUGGGCGUAAAGGGUGCGUAGGCGGCGCGGUAAGUCGGGUGUGAAAUCUCGGGGCUUAACUCCGAAACUGCAUUCGAUACUGCCGUGCUUGAGGACUGGAGAGGAGACUGGAAUUUACGGUGUAGCGGUGAAAUUCGUAGAUAUGGGGAGGAACACCGGUGGCGAAGGCGGCCAUCUGGACGGAUACUGACGCUGAGACGGCGAAAAGCGUGGGGAGCAAACAGGG